UACGAAGGGGGCUAGCGUUGUUCGGAUUUACUGGGCGUAAAGCGCACGUAGGCGGAUAUUUAAGUCAGGGGUGAAAUCCCGGGGCUCAACCCCGGAACUGCCUUUGAUACUGGGUAUCUCGAGUCCGAGAGAGGUGAGUGGAAUUCCGAGUGUAGAGGUGAAAAUUCGUAGAUAUUCGGAGGAACACCAGUGGCGAAGGCGGCUCACUGGCUCGGUACUGACGCUGAGGUGCGAAAGCGUGGGGAGCAAACAGG
rnacentral:rRNA from 1 species